UGGGCUCAAUAUGGAUUGAAUAUCAAGGUAUUAAAAUCUAACAAUCUCCAUCUCGACUCGAUAUUCGACCUCCUCCUAACUCUGAGAGUUUCUAGAUCUCCUCGCCCCCAUGCCCUGGGGCAAUCGCCUGCUGAUCAUGGAUGGGCAAACAUGGAAGUCGAGCCAGACCGCUCGAUCCCAUUUCUAUCGUAUGCUAUGCUCCUUCUGACCUAAGAUCUGCUCGGGGUAUCAUCCCGCAACAAUAGGAAUCUUACCUUA
rnacentral:lncRNA from 1 species